rnacentral:tRNA from 1 species
GGGCUCGUAGCUCAGUAGCAGAGCACACGCUUGGCGUGCGGGGGGCCGGGGGUGCGAGUCCCCCCGAGUCCA